rnacentral:misc_RNA from 1 species
AAACUGCGAUAAUUAUUGCGAACUGCAGAAGGAUUGAGCACAAAAGUUUUGAACGCAAAUGGCCGCAUUGAGGUCAAACUCUUUGCAACGUCUGGUUCAGGGUCAUUUUCUCUUAUAGCGGAAGCUUUAAUUUCUAUAAUGAUGUUGUUGCUUUAUAUUUUAAAAGGAUUUUUGUCUAUUCAUGUAUUAAAUCUAACUGUGAAAAUCAAACAAUUUUGACCUGAACUCAGUCGAGAGCACCCGCUGAACUUAAGC